rnacentral:rRNA from 1 species
AGUGAACGCUGGCGGUAGGCCUAACACAUGCAAGUCGAACGGCAGCACAGUAAGAGCUUGCUCUUACGGGUGGCGAGUGGCGGACGGGUGAGGAAUACAUCGGAAUCUACUUUUUCGUGGGGGAUAACGUAGGGAAACUUACGCUAAUACCGCAUACGACCUACGGGUGAAAGCAGGGGAUCUUCGGACCUUGCGCGAUUGAAUGAACCGAUGUCGGAUUAGCUAGUUGGCGGGGUAAAGGCCCACCAAGGCGACGAUCCGUAGCUGGUCUGAGAGGAUGAUCAGCCACACUGGAACUGAGACACGGUCCAGACUCCUACGGGAGGCAGCAGUGGGGAAUAUUGGACAAUGGGCGCAAGCCUGAUCCAGCCAUACCGCGUGGGUGAAGAAGGCCUUCGGGUUGUAAAGCCCUUUUGUUGGGAAAGAAAAGCAGCAGGUUAAUACCCCGCCGUUCUGACGGUACCCAAAGAAUAAGCACCGGCUAACUUCGUG